AGUUCAUAAAAGGGCAAAAGACAUUUUAUAGAAAAUGUUGUCCUAACAACAACCAGAGAUAUUACACUCUUGUUCUGAGACAGGGCUUGCUUAUUGAGAUGUAGGAGUGAACCAACCUGUCCACAUCCCCUUUGUAAAGGGUCCCAACAUCCCUGACAAAGUUCAAGUAUAAAUACUGGACCCGAACAAUACAAACCAAUUAUUACACAGUACAGACUUCAGCAUCAGUCACCGCACCGUCUUCAAUAUGAAGUACUUCGCAAUUGCCUUGCUCCUCCUGUUCGCCGUCGUGGCUUGUUAUGCCGCUGACGCUCCCAAGGAAGCCCUGAAAGGCUCUGAGGCAGUGUAUGUGGCAUCCCCCUACGCGUACAACGUUCCCGCUGCCGUGUACCACCCCUACGGAUACUAUUACCGCUAAACAACCCCCCGACACAGCAUUUGUUAUGAUAACUUACGAGCUAUGAACUACGGACCUUCUCUUCUUGAAACUUCGACUGCAGAUUCUUAAGACGAGGAAGUGAUUCUGAUAUAGAUACCUUCUUUGAUGUUUUGGCACAGUGUACAGUCACAAGACUACUAUUAAAUAUAAUAACAAGAAUA